rnacentral:piRNA from 1 species
UUCCUGCAAUGGUCGUGGACUAUGGUGU